rnacentral:rRNA from 1 species
AAUACUCUUGGAUAGUGGACGUUACUCGCAGAAUAAGCACCGGCUAACUCUGUGCCAGCAGCCGCGGUAAUACAGAGGGUGCAAGCGUUAAUCGGAUUUACUGGGCGUAAAGCGCGCGUAGGUGGCCAAUUAAGUCAAAUGUGAAAUCCCCGAGCUUAACUUGGGAAUUGCAUUCGAUACUGGUUGGCUAGAGUAUGGGAGAGGAUGGUAGAAUUCCAGGUGUAGCGGUGAAAUGCGUAGAGAUCUGGAGGAAUACCGAUGGCGAAGGCAGCCAUCUGGCCUAAUACUGACACUGAGGUGCGAAAGCAUGGGGAGCAAACAGGAUUAGAUACCCUGGUAGUCCAUGCCGUAAACGAUGUCUACUAGCCGUUGGGGCCUUUGAGGCUUUAGUGGCGCAGCUAACGCGAUAAGUAGACCGCCUGGGGAGUACGGUCGCAAGACUAAAACUCAAAUGAAUUGACGGGGGCCCGCACAAGCGGUGGAGCAUGUGGUUUAAUUCGAUGCAACGCGAAGAACCUUACCUGGUCUUGACAUAGUAAGAACUUUCCAGAGAUGGAUUGGUGCCUUCGGGAACUUACAUACAGGUGCUGCAUGGCUGUCGUCAGCUCGUGUCGUGAGAUGUUGGGUUAAGUCCCGCAACGAGCGCAACCCUUUUCCUUAUUUGCCAGCGGGUAAGC